rnacentral:rRNA from 1 species
UACGGGGGGGGCAAGCGUUGUUCGGAAUUACUGGGCGUAAAGGGCUCGUAGGCGGCCAACUAAGUCGGAUGUGAAAUCCCCAAGCUUAACUUGGGAACUGCAUCCGAUACUGGAUGGCUUGAAUCCGGGAGAGGGAUGCAGAAUUCCAGGUGUAGCGGUGAAAUGCGUAGAUAUCUGGAGGAAUACCGGUGGCGAAGGCGGGUCUCUGGACAGUUCCUGACACUGAGACACGAAGGCCAGGGGAGCAAACGGG